AACGAACGCUGGCGGCGCGCCUAAUACAUGCAAGUCGAGCGAGAAGACGUAGCAAUACGUUUGUAAAGCGGCGAACGGGUGAGGAAUACAUGGGUAACCUACCCUCGAGUGGGGAAUAACUAGCCGAAAGGUUAGCUAAUACCGCGUACGCUCCUUGGACUUCGGUUCAGGGAGGAAAGCGAUACCGUGGUAUCGCGCUCUUGGAUGGGCUCAUGUCCUAUCAGCUUGUUGGUGAGGAACGGCUCACCAAGGCUUCGACGGGUAGCUGGUCUGAGAGGACGAUCAGCCACACUGGCACUGCGACACGGGCCAGACUCCUACGGGAGCAGCAGUAAGGAAUAUUGCGCAAUGGGCGAAAGCCUGACGCAGCGACGCCGCGUGGGGGAUGAAGGUC
rnacentral:rRNA from 1 species